GAUGAAUGCUGGCGGCGUGCCUAAUACAUGCAAGUCGAGCGAACAGACGAGGAGCUUGCUCCUCUGACGUUAGCGGCGGACGGGUGAGUAACACGUGGAUAACCUACCUAUAAGACUGGGAUAACUUCGGGAAACCGGAGCUAAUACCGGAUAAUAUAUUGAACCGCAUGGUUCAAUAGUGAAAGACGGUUUUGCUGUCACUUAUAGAUGGAUCCGCGCCGCAUUAGCUAGUUGGUAAGGUAACGGCUUACCAAGGCAACGAUGCGUAGCCGACCUGAGAGGGUGAUCGGCCACACUGGAACUGAGACACGGUCCAGACUCCUACGGGAGGCAGCAGUAGGGAAUCUUCCGCAAUGGGCGAAAGCCUGUCGGAGCAACGCCGCGUGAGUGAUGAAGGUCUUCGGAUCGUAAAACUCUGUUAUUAGGGAAGAACAAAUGUGUAAGUAACUAUGCACGUCUUGACGGUACCUAAUCAGAAAGCCACGGCUAACUACGUG
rnacentral:rRNA from 1 species